rnacentral:lncRNA from 1 species
ACCUAGAUAGUUUAUGACCCACAUAGGCCAAAACCAUCAAAACAACCCAAAUCCUCACAUACUCUCUCCCCAUCAUGCAUACUCACUCCCACAUGCAUAAAGGAGCAUAAACUAACAACAUAUCAUCACAUAAACACAUAUAAUCAUACAUUGGGCAUCAAACCCACAUAAACCUAAACAUGCAUAUCUACCCAUUAAAACACCAUUAAACUUACUUAAAACUUCAUUAAAACAUAAAGGGAAGCAUAGAUCCACACUUACCUCUUGAAGAUCGAGGGUUGGUGCGAUCCCUAACUUGGAGAUGGGAGGAAACUAAUCCUUGGGUCUCCAAGCUCCCAAAACUUGAUCUAAGCUUGAAAACUCUUUAAAAACAGCCAUGGAACUCAUGAAAACAUGAAGGAGAUGAAGAAAAACAUGAAAACGGCCAAGGG